UAAGGGAAACUGGCUGGCAUACACAUUACACAUGGGGAAAACCACAAAAAUGCAUGUGCAGCUAGCCCGUUUACAGGAUUUGAACCUUUGACCGAACUACCAGUGUUCAGCGACUUUACCGCUCUGCUGGUAGGCCUCAAAUAUGAAAGGAAAUACUUUAAAUAUAGUAGCAGUUAAUCAGUACUGAUGAGCAUUACCUAUGUAUAGUAUCAGAAAGGGAGGUUUAAGCAGCAUUAAUUGCACUCAAAGGAAACAAUAAAAACAUAAUUUUUUGUAUACAAAUAUAAGUUCAUUCUUCUUUUUUUUUAAAAAAUUAUACAUGUUACACAUGGGGAACACUGUAACGUGUAUUGCAUUGUGCGUGAAUUGUACGUGUAACAUGUAUUGUAAAGCAUUGCUGCCAAUCUGCAGUGACUAAGUGCAGAUAAAUGUGGCCUUGUCAAUAGUCAGCACUUAAGUAUUCUUAGAACAGACUGAGGAAAUAGCUCAUGGUCAUUGGAGGUGUUGAGUAUUAUAGCAUAUUAUUUGUUUCAUGUGUCACCAUAUAUUAAACCUUCCUUGAAUAUCCUUCAACAAGAAUAUGACUAAUUUUUAAAUAUACUAACGGGCAUAUUGAUGCGUUAUUUAUUUCAGUAUAACAUUGUUUAGGGUAACAUAAAAGUAAUAGACUAAUGUCUACUUUAGAAUCAUUUCAUGAUAAAAAUGAUUAUGAGCUGACUUUGUCUGUAAUUAAGUAGAAUUAUUCACUUUUCAAGUUUUAGAUAAAUUAAAACUUUUAUUAAUGAUAGAAAAGGCAGCUCUUGGAUUUACAGUAGAAUAUUUGCAUAGCAUUUGAAAUAUAGCAUAUUCAGUAAUUUUUAUAAAUAUUGCAGUUUGAAACUUUUGAGCUUGCAUGCUUAAUACUUGUUUGGAUAGUUCUGAAUAUGUAGCAUAAAUAUGAGGCAACUGCCCUGAGAAAUCCUCCAUGAAGGCAUCCUUUAUCUUAAGCAGACAGACGUCGUGUCUUUGCUGUAUUCAAACAACCUGCUUAGUUGACUGAAUAUCUUUUGUAUAGAAUUAAUAGCAGUUAGUCUUAUUUACAAUUCUAAUAUGAGACUUUUGCAAUUUGUUAUAAUUUUUUCAAAAAUAACUAGGUAGCUGGGAAAUUUGAAUUUUGAGAUUGUUUUGGUUUGUUAUAUAAUGAAUUUUAUUGCAGUUUGUUGUUUUGGUUUGUUAUAUAUGAAUCAGAUCAGAACCAGUUUCAUAAAAUGAAUUCUGAAACACUUAGCACUUACUAUAUGGGAAGCCUUAAUAAUAAUAAAAAUAAUCACAAUGUGAAUCUUGAAUUGCACAGUUAAGAAACAUAGAUUCAAAGAUUAUAGUUCUGUGUAGAAAAACAGGUAAACUAGUAAAAAAUGCUGUUCUUUCCUGCUGUGUUUGUAUUUAAAAUUUUGAAUUUCUAAAAAUACUUUGCUUUGCAUAAAGAAAAAUUUCAGGAAAAUGUAUUUUAUAUGCUACAGAUAGCCCAGAAAAGUACUUCUAAAAAAGGUGCUUUUAUUACUGAUUCACUGCAGUAAUGUAAAUGGCCUAUCAUUACUGCUACUGCAACAGGUUUUAUUAUAAAAAAAAGUCCAUUUUAAAUUAAGGUGCCAUUCAGCCAAAAAUGAUAUCAACUAGUUUUCUGCAGAAUGUAAUAUGCAGCAGGAACACAGAAAGCAAAUAAGAACAUGGACAACUACUUCCAGUGUGGCAAAAAAUACUUAUUUGAAUUCUUUUCGAAAACUGCUAGUUGCAGUUAUUUUAUUCUCGUGUCUGUAAAUAAAUCUUCCAUUAUUUGUAAUCUGAAAUUAUCUUUUUUGCUUUUAGGAAAGUUUUUAUACUUACAGCAGUACCUUUUAAUACAUUUUGCUACUGAAGGGAAAAAAUUAUCGUGAUAUCCAGUGCUUUUGUUACAGAAAGUAAUGAUACAAAAUAUUUUUGAUGCAGGAAAAGUUGCAUGGUGCAGUCAGUAUAUCUUUUGAUAACCGAAGAUUUUCUUAGUUAAGCAUAGUUACAGAGAACCAAAUUUGAAAGCACAAAGAUCUGAAUGAUGAUUUUAAUUUUCCUUUUAUUCCAAGUAAGGCUAACAUUUUUAGCUGGAACUAAAAUUGUGCCUUAAAUAGAUAAUAAUAAAUAAAAAAAUAGUUUAUUUAAAAAUGUUCACUUUACAUAUAUUGUUUUUAUUAAACAAUUAAGCCUAAUAAAAAGAGAUUUAUGCAAAUAUGAUAAUAUUUACAUUGAAGAUGCCUAUUUUUUUAAAGACUACAUAUACUAAUGUCAUAACAUUUAUCAUUAAAUUGCCUUAAUGUGUUUUAUUAAAUAUGUAAUCCCAUUUUUAUACCAUGUACCUCAUAAAAGGAAUGUUAUGAUAUGCCCCCUCAAGGGUAAGUGAUAGUUUUCUUACCUUUGACUGAAUAUAUUAAUCAGCAAAAGGCAUUUUCCAUGCAUGGUAAAUGUUUUCCUUUAAGUAUAAAAAGAAGUUAUGCUGAUUUCCUCCCAAUUAGGGUAAAAAAGAAAAGGAUAAAUAUGUCAAUUGAAGUAAAUAAAGGAUAAAAAUGCUAUUCAUUCAUAUAGCUGUGUUUGUAGAAAAUCUUGAAUAUCUAGAAAUAAGUUUUUCUGAAAUGUGUGUUCUGUAUAAAAGAGAAAGUGAUAUUGUACAAGUAUAUUGCUUCUGAGGCAUAUAUUCUGUAUAAAAAUGAAUGUAGAAGGUGUAAUAUGUAUAAAAAUUAAUGAAGAAUUAUAAUUGAAAGUGUAAUAUUGUAUAUAUAUCGAGAUUUUGAAAAUGGAUCCGUUUGGAAUGAUCAGAAUAGCAAAAUAUUUGCUACUCAUAUGAAGGAAUAUAUAUCCAUUGAUUGGAUUCUGAACGAGGUGACUUUUCUGUUGUUCAUUGAAUAUUGUUAUAAAAGUUCUGAUUAAAUGGUGUUGUACUCAAUUUGAAAGUUGAAUUAAUAAUGUUCCAUUUUUUAAUGUUUCUUUAUUCACAGGGUGUAUUUGUGAACAGUUUUUUGACAUUGUAUCUGUAAUUUGAAAUAAUAAGUUACAUCAAAGUUUCAGUUCAACAGAAUUUUAUGUAUUCUACUUUUAUAUAAAAGUUUGAGAGAAAGAUGUAAUAGAAGUAUUUUCUGACAUGCUCGUCUAUGCUAUAUUUGUUGUGUAAUUUAAACACAGGCCAUAAGUUUUAUUUUUAAAUUUGUGGUAUUGCAUCUUGAUUUUUAAAAUUUAUUUUUCUGUUAUAAGUUGUUUUUUUAAAUUUGCAGUAUUGCAUCUUGAUUUUUAAAAUUUAUUUUUCUGCUUUUUCAUUUACUUAGCACAUUUUGGAAAUGUGUCUUAAAUUGCUUCUUAUGUGAUAUUAGAUUAUAAAUAUAUAUGUCCAGUGUAUGUUUCCCGGUGGUUUGUUUUACUUUUUAUAUUUGUUGCCAUUGAUUGGAGCUAAUUCAGGUCUUAGCUAGUUAUACAUUUAUUUAAAUGUACAUAUUUUGUUUUUAUGUGAGGAUGUUUUUUGUUUUCUGUUCUAAUUGUAGUUAAUAAUUGCAGUUGAGUCUCUUGAAAUUUUAUAAAACUGUGAUAAAUUCAAAAAUUCAAAAACAUUUUUGUGUAGUUGUAAUCUAUAAAUAACUGAUAUUUAAUAGUAUUUAAUAGUAUUUAUGAUUGUUAUUAAAAAGCAGAAUUUUUAAAAUGAUAAUCUAAUUCUAGAAUUGAAUUAAAAAAUUUUUUUAAGCAGGAAUUAGUCUGUUAUAUUGUAUAAUUCCUAUUUGACUAUGUUCUUAUAUAUGCAUUUUGUAUUUUAAUAUCUUCAUAUAUUUUGUUAAUUUUACAAUCUGAACAAAUAUGAAAUAAGUAUAUGCAUUUUGAGAUAAAUUUAUAAAAUCUGAAUAUUUAUUUCAUUUUUUUUAUCGAUAAUUUGAUUACAAUGAAUCUUGUGUUCUUGAAGAUGACCAUUCACAAUUCCAAAUUAUUUUAAUUUUGUUAGAAGUGGCGAAUGCUUUUGUGGAAUAGUGAUGUUCAUUACUGAUAUUUGUUUUAUGUUCUAAAAAAUGCAGGUCAUGUUCAAAGGUUAUCAUCAUGAGAGGUUUCAAAGCUACUCUAAAUUACUUUAUAAAGAUGUCUUUCAUUUGAGGAAUUUUUUUAUUUUUUCUUCUUAUUUAUGUGCUUGGAAAGAGCAUAAUCUGAAAUACCAUGGAUUUCUUCUUAUAGUAAAUAUGUUGGAGAAUUUUAUUUAAUAUAAAUGUGAUUAAAAAAAAAGCAUAAACAAAACUAGUAACAUAUAGUGUAACAUUCUUUUCUCUGCAUUUUAUGAAACUAAAAAUAUAUUUUACCUUAUGUGGCAUUCAUGCUAGCAUUUCUUCAAGUAUUAUUAUUGCUCAUUUGUUUUUAACAGUGGAUUUUUGGUUGUGUCAAUUUUCAGGGAUUUCUUUAUUAUAUUUAUGUAUUUUUUAUGAUUUUAUUUCGUGAGCAACAGUAGUUUGUAAAAAUCUUUGAUUAGUUUAUGCUUUUUUUGCUGUAUUUUUGUGGUUUGAUUAACUUUGUGAUUGGAUUUUGUAAUAGUAGAGCCAUGCUGACAAAUUUUAAUACAUGAGGUAAAUCUCAAAAUUCAUCACAUGCACAUUAUAUUUAAUGUGAUGUAUUUAAAUGUGAUGCAUUCUGUUGUUUUUUUGACUGACACAAUAUCCUUAUUCCUUCCACCUAAAAAUAUCUCUAAUCUUGAUUGAUAAACAAUAAUAAUAUUGAUUUCAUCAGAAAAACUUGAGUUUGUUAGAAAAAUAGCUGUUAAAUUAUAGAUAUAGAUUUGUGUAUGUAUCUGCCAGGCUGUUAGAAAAUCUUAGCAUUAGCACAUUAAUUAUAAAAUUAAGCCAAAACCUAUGUCUAAAAAAUUAGAUGAUGAAUGGAAAUUUAUGUAUUUUUACCUGAUAGUAUGAAACCAGUGAAAAAUACAUUGUUGUGUCAAAUGAAAAUUAUUUAUGAUAUUUUUAGAAAUUUUGAUAAAAAAUUUAUUUGUUGUUCUCAAAAUUAGUCACAAGUUGAAUUUUGCCGCUCAUUAGAAUUCACAUCUAUAUUUCUUACAUCUUUUAAUUCUGGUAAAUAGGUGGAUUCCAUUGUGGCCUUUAUAGUUUUACCAUAUGUAACAGGAAUAGCCCUUUUGAUAGGCCCUUCACAUAGACAUCUUUCCUGUGAGCAACCUGAUAUUCUUUGCCAAAAUUGAUUGACAGUGGCAUACAUUUGUUAAACAAGUUUAUUUUUAGAAAAGAAUGUGUUUAAUCAAAUUGUAAUAUGAUUGGUUAUAUUGUACUUUAAAAUAUAAUGCAUGAAUUUUCUCUUUUUUAUCACAGAAAACCUAUUUUAUAUUUAUCAAGUAUCAAGUUCCUUCCAAAAAAAAAGCGAAAACCUAUAACAUGCAAAGAGCAUUUUACUGUUUUAAUAUUUUUGUUGACGAUUUUCAAGUUUUAAUCUUUUUCACUCCUGCUUUGAUUUACAAUGAACCAACUAUUCUUGAGGUUUUAACUGAGGAGAUACAGUCUGAGAGUCUUCUAUGAUUCUUCUCCUACUAUUAAGAUCUUAUUAAGGCUUUCAGUCAGCAGAUUAUAAGUGCCCCCAUGCUGCAAAGGUACUGUACUUACUAACAUCAAACAAAGCUCUGCUAGAAUUUGAACGUGAAUUCAGGAGCAUGGAAUCCAUUAGCCUGGGUUAACCAUUAUGCUGUCAGGGCUAGUGGCAUUGUUAUUAGAAACUGUUCAUAUUAUCAGAAUUGUUAUUACAUUUGGCUUAUGUAAAAUGUUAUUUUGAUAGGAAGGAAAUAUUGCUCUUGAGAUGUUUGUAAUAUCAAUUGAUACAUCGCUAGUAGAAAUAUUAGAAUGUUUCAAGCAGUAUUGGGGGAAUGAUGGGCUACAUCCAUCAAACAAAUUGUGUGUGGUUCAUAAAUUUUAUCCUUUUGUACUAACUCUUGACUUUUGAAUUACUAUAUACUAAUACACAGAGUAACUCGUAUGUUGCAUCCAAAAUUUAAAAAAAAUUGAUAAAACAAAAAAAUUUUGGAAAUUUCAAAAUGAAUGUAUGGCAGAUUAUCUCAAUGGAAAAUGCGGAGUGAGUUUUAUACUGUUAUAUACGACCCAUCCCCCCCUUUUUUUUUUUGUGUGUGUGUGUGUAUAUAUGUGUAAAUGUAAGAUGGUAUAUGAGUUUUCUCGAAGCACAGCAAAUUUUUAUAACUGAGGAAUGCAUAAAUUUGAGUGUGAUACCAUCUUUCUCAGCCUUUUUGUUGGUAAUUGCAACAUUUUAUAUUGACAGCAUUUAUUUUGUGUGUACUUAGAAAAGGUGAGUGGCCAUUUUCUUUCUUAUGGUGAACUCUUUCAAUUUCUUGAAAUCAGGUUACCAAGAGAAAAAUCAUUGUCUAAUUAGGUUCACAGACAUAUGGAAAAAUUUCUGUAUGUGCUUCUGUAAGAAUGUGUUGCAAAGUUAAUGAAUGCGCUCAAUCAUAUAAAUUUCUUCUACUUGGGGAAAACUGAUCUCUAUGUCACCAAACAGUUUUUAACACUAACAGUUUAAACUGCAAAUGUUCAUAUAUUACUUUUAACUGAAAUGGGAUGUCAUUCAUUGAAACAUUUUUACCAUUAAAAUCCAUUUUGGAAUUUAGACAGCAUUUGAAAGUUAAUUUAUAUUUAAUAUUUGAUGUGUGCCAUUAUUGGAUCACACUGUAUAUUCAUAAGAAUGGAACAUUAUAACUUGUUGAUAAAUUAUCAGAACAUUUAACUUAUUGAUAAAUUAUAUUUGUUGAUAAAUAAGACUUGUGUGCUAAAGCUAAGAAUGUGCUACAAUAGUCCACCCCCUUUUUUUUUGAGUAAUUUUUAUUUUUAAUAAGUUUGUUCUUUUUUUAAAUGCAUUUAUUCUUCCCCCCCCCCAAAAAAAAUUCAUUUUCUUGUACUGUUUCCAAAAUUUUGUUUACUGUUUCCUAAAAAAAAUUCGUUCUUUGCCAAAUAGAUUACAUCUUUUGUAUGAGCUAUUAUUUUUGGUAAAUUUACAAUGCAGCUCCAAGCAUUCUUUUCAGUUGUUACAUCCAUUAAAACCCAAAUAAGAAAACUUAUGCAAUUCAUUUGCAUGACCAUUUAUGCCCUUCAUUUCUACUUUUUACUAAUUGGUACUUGAAUGAUUUAAAGGCAUUUUAAUUAUAAUUUUCUUUAAAUUUGUAAAUCAUCAGCAAAUCUUUAAUUGGUUUCUCUUCUUGUAAGUAUUUCAAAUAAAAAAGAAUGUGCCAACUGUAUAAUCUGACAGCAUACUACUAGUAUAAACAAUCAUAUGCAUUGAAUUCAUGUUGGAUGUGCUUGUAAUGUAUGAGAAUUUGGAUUUUCUUACUGCACAUUUCAUUAAUGUUAAAGCAUUUUAUAUUAACUAUUAUACUCAAAUUAAAAACUAAAUGCUUUAAUUAUUACACUUCUCCUUUACUGAUUGAAAUAUUAUGUGCUGUGGUUCAGUAUAAAAUCAUCAAUCUAUUUUUAUAUAUGAAAGAGCAGAAUGUUGGGCAUAUUUAAUUUAAAAAAAAGUAUGUAUUGAAAAGUUGAACAUAUUUUUCAGAUCAGUUAAAAGAAGCUCUCAUUUUUCUCUGCCUUAUAUGCAUUUUUAUACUGUAUUAAAUCAAGUGAUAUAUUUCUCAUUUGUGAUCUAAUAAAUUUAGUAGAAAUCUGUGCAUGGUGCUGUUUUUUGUCAGCUGUGCAAUGCAUUGUGAAUAUUUUAGUUAACAGCCGUCCAUAUAUUUGUGAUGUUUUUAUUUUUAGUAUUCUAUUAAUUUUAGUUUGUCAAUUGAGCUGUAUUAAUAACAAAGUAUAAAAUGUUAGCAAGUAGAUAUUGAUUCAAAUAUUUUAGAUAUUAAAUUUAUACUGUAGACAUACUUCACUUAACAUUUUAUGUUUGCCCUUUCUUCAGUUAUUAGGUAUUUUAAUUUAUUGAGUUACAUCGGCAGUGAGAUCUAUUGUUAGGCGACUUUCUGUUUUAUAAUACUACUUAUAUAGGCAUUCUUUUCAUAGCAUAUUAUUGGCAUAGUUAGAGUAAUAUGCCUGUCAUAAAUAAUUGAACUGAAAUUGCAUGUUGGGAUUUCUUAUUUAAGAGAGAAAAUUUAACUAACAAAAAAUUUAAAAUUGUGUGUUCUGUGAAUAUUUUAUUCCAUCUUAGUAUCAAUUUGAUAGCAAAUAGAAAUUUCCCAAUCUUUCAGCCAGUUUGUGUAAUUUGUAUUCACUAUUUCUCUUUGAAAUGACUUUAGUGAUUUUCCUUUUAUUUAGAAAUUAAAAAAAA